UGAGGAAUAUUGGUCAAUGGGCGCAAGCCUGAACCAGCCAUGCCGCGUGCAGGAAGAAUGCCCUAUGGGUUGUAAACUGCUUUUAUUUGGGAAUAAACCUCUUUACGUGUAAGGAGCUGAAGGUACCAAAUGAAUAAGCACUGGCUAACUCCGUGCCAGCAGCCGCGGUAAUACGGAGGGUGCAAGCGUUAUCCGGAAUCAUUGGGUUUAAAGGGUCCGCAGGCGGGCUUAUAAGUCAGUGGUGAAAGCCUACAGCUCAACUGUAGAACUGCCAUUGAUACUGUAAGUCUUGAAUUCGGUCGAAGUGGGCGGAAUAUGACAUGUAGCGGUGAAAUGCUUAGAUAUGUCAUAGAACACCGAUAGCGAAGGCAGCUCACUAGGCCUGGAUUGACGCUCAGGGACGAAAGCGUGGGGAUCAAACG
rnacentral:rRNA from 1 species